rnacentral:rRNA from 1 species
AGUGAACGCUGGCGGUAGGCCUAACACAUGCAAGUCGAACGGCAGCACAGUAAGAGCUUGCUCUUACGGGUGGCGAGUGGCGGACGGUUGAUGAAUACAUCGGAAUCUACUUUUUCUUGGGGGAUGACGUAGGGAAACUUACGCUAAUACCGCAUACGACCUACGGGUGAAAUCAUGGGAUCUUCGGACCUUGCGCGAUCGAAUGAGCCGAUGUCGGAUUAGCUAGGUGGCGGGGUAAAGGCCCACCAAGGCGACGAUCCGUAGCUGGUCUGAGAGGAUGAUAAGCCACACUGGAACUGAGACACGGUCCAGACUCCUACGGGAGGCAGCAGUGGGGAAUAUGGGACAAUGGGCGCAAGCCUGAUCCAGCCAGACCGCGUGGGUGAAGAAGGCCUUCGGGUGGUAAAGCCCUUUUGUUGGGAAAGAAAAGCAGCAGGUUAAUACCCCGCUGUUCUGACGGUACCAAAAGAAUAAGCACCGGCUAACCUCGG